UACGGGGGGGGCAAGCGUUGUUCGGAAUUACUGGGCGUAAAGGGCUCGUAGGCGGGCAACUAAGUCAGACGUGAAAUCCCUCGGCUUAACCGGGGAACUGCGUCUGAUACUGGAUGGCUUGAGUUUGGGAGAGGGAUGCGGAAUUCCAGGUGUAGCGGUGAAAUGCGUAGAUAUCUGGAGGAACACCGGUGGCGAAGGCGGCAUCCUGGACCAACACUGACGCUGAGGAGCGAAAGCCAGGGGAGCAAACGGG
rnacentral:rRNA from 1 species